GGGCCGUUAGCUCAGCCUGGUUAGAGCACUGGCCUUUUAAGCCAGGUGUCGCGGGUUCAAAUCCCGUACGGCCCG
rnacentral:tRNA from 1 species